rnacentral:rRNA from 1 species
UACGUAGGGUGCGAGCGUUGUCCGGAAUUACUGGGCGUAAAGAGCGCGCAGGCGGUCGUUCAAGUCGCGUGUGAAAGCCCCCGGCUCAACUGGGGAGGGUCACGCGAUACUGAUCGACUCGAAGGCAGGAGAGGGUAGUGGAAUUCCUGGUGUAGCGGUGGAAUGCGCAGAUAUCAGGAGGAACACCGGUGGCGAAGGCGGGUCUCUGGGCAGUAACUGACGCUGAGGAGCGAAAGCGUGGGGAGCGAACAGG